UACGAAGGGUGCAAGCGUUACUCGGAAUUAUUGGGCGUAAAGCGUGUGUAGGUGGCUCUCUAAGUCAGGAGUGAAAUCCCCGAGCUUAACUUGGGAAGUGCUUUUGAUACUGCAGAGCUUGAAUGUGGGAGAGGAUCGUGGAAUUCCAGGUGUAGUGGUGAAAUACGUAGAUAUCUGGAGGAACACCGGUGGCGAAGGCGGCGAUCUGGCCCAACAUUGACACUGAGACCCGAAAGCGUGGGGAUCAAACAGG
rnacentral:rRNA from 1 species